AUUACGAAUGUUAAUGGUAAUUUGUCCGUACCUUUCAAAAUAACGAGCGUAUUGAUGUAGGGGAAUGUGUAUAAGACGCUCUAAUAAUUGAAAUACAUUAUCUGGACGCUCCUGACGCUCCUCAAAUUCCAGAUAUUUAUCCCAAAAUGGAUGUGACAGAAAAUCCAAUCCAACCAUGUUCGCACCUUGCAUGAAUAGCCUGAUGAGUUAGUAUUUGUCACGUGAAAUAAGGGUUUAUUCUUACUCCCGAACUUCAUUUGCAUCACCAUUGGUUUCCAUUUUAAAAGCGCAAUAGUUUGUCCACAAAUCAACAGAGUGUGGAAUACCAGCAAUUCCUCGUUCGUAGAUCUAUUUUUUUAUUAGAAAAAUAACAAAUCGCAUAAUACUUGUGUACAUACAUGCUCUGAUGCUUCAGCACCUGCCACAAAAAACUCAAAAUCUGCAUACUUCUUCCAAUAACCAAACAAUAGCGGAUAUUUUCCCAAGAAUCGAUCGUACACACUUCUUAAUGUAUUGAUAGCCUGUUUCGAAGAGUUUCUGCCAACACCUCCCUCAAGAUGUUCUGAAGCACGAACCAGUCCUUCCCUAAAUCAUAAUUAGCACUAAAUAAGUUGUAUCUGACAACAUCCUACCAAGCAUCAAAAUCAUCUGGAUUUUUAUUUAUUUGACGAUUAUAUUUAUCCCAUUCUGUUUCCUCUGCAAUGUAAAUAUCCCCAUAAUCCAUUUUGGUUCGCAAGUAUAAAAGCGCGUAAGGAUAAAAUGUAAAUAUCGAACAGCAACGAAAUAUA